rnacentral:rRNA from 1 species
AGUGAACGCUGGCGGUAGGCCUAACACAUGCAAGUCGAACGGCAGCACAGUAAGAGCCUCCUCUUACGGGUGGCGAGUGGCGGACGGGUUAGGACUACAUCGGAAUCUACUUUUUCGUUGGGGAUAACGUAGGGAAACUUACGCUAAUACCGCAUACGACCUACGGGUGAAAGCAGGGGAUCUUCGGACCUUGCGCGAUUGCAUGUGCCGGUGUCGGAUUAUCUAGGUGGCGGGGUAAAGGCCCACCACGGCGACGAUCCGUAGCUGGUCUGAGAGGAUGACCAGCAAAACUGGAAAGGAGAAACGGUCCAGACUCCUAGGGGAGGAAGAAGUGGGGAAUAUUGGAAAAGGGGCGAAAGCAUGAUCCAGACAUACGGGGUGGGUGAAGAAGGCCUUCGGGUUGUAAAGACCUUUUGUUGGGAAAGAAAAGCAGCAGGUUAAUACCCCGCUGUUCUGACGGUACCGAAAGAAUAAGCACCGGCGAACUUCGU